rnacentral:rRNA from 1 species
CUUGCUUCUCUGAUGUUAGCGGCGGACGGGUGAGUAACACGUGGAUAACCUACCUAUAAGACUGGGAUAACUUCGGGAAACCGGAGCUAAUACCGGAUAAUAUUUUGAACCGCAUGGUUCAAAAGUGAAAGACGGUCUUGCUGUCACUUAUAGAUGGAUCCGCGCUGCAUUAGCUAGUUGGUAAGGUAACGGCUUACCAAGGCAACGAUGCAUAGCCGACCUGAGAGGGUGAUCGGCCACACUGGAACUGAGACACGGUCCAGACUCCUACGGGAGGCAGCAGUAGGGAAUCUUCCGCAAUGGGCGAAAGCCUGACGGAGCAACGCCGCGUGAGUGAUGAAGGUCUUCGGAUCGUAAAACUCUGUAUUAGGGAAGAACAUAUGUGUAAGUAACUGUGCACAUCUUGACGGUACCUAAUCAGAAAGCCACGGCUAACUACGUGCCAGCAGCCGCGGUAAUACGUAGGUGGCAAGCCGUUAUCCGGAAUUAUUGGGCGUAAAGCGCGCGUAGNCGUUUUUUAAGUCUGAUGUGAAAGCCCACGGCUCAACCGUGGAGGGUCAUUGGAUACUGGAAUACUUGAGUGCAGCAAGAGGAAAGUGGAAUUCCAUGUGGUAGCGCUGAAAUGCGCAGAGAUAUGGAGGAACACCAGUGGCGAAGGCGACUUUCUGGUCUGUAACUGACGCUGAUGUGCGAAAGCGUGGGGAUCAAAACAGGAUUAGAUACCCUGGUAGUCCACGCCGUAACGAUGAGUGCUAAGUGUUAG